rnacentral:tRNA from 1 species
GCCUGGGAAGCUCAGUCGGUUGAGCAUCCGACUUCAGCUCAGGUCAUGAUCUCAUGGUUUGUGAGUUCGAGCCCCACCUCGGGCU